rnacentral:rRNA from 1 species
CGCAGGCGGUUUUGUAAGUCAGAUGUGAAAUCCCGGGCUUAACCCCGGAAGGGCAUUUGAAACUAUAAAACUUGAGUAUGGGAGAGGGAAGUGGAAUUCCUGGUGUAGAGGUGAAAUUCGUAGAUAUCAGGAGGAACACCGGUGGCGAAGGCGACUUCCUGGACCAAUACUGACGCUGAGGCGCGAAGGCGUGGGGAGCAAACA